GAUCAUGGCUCAGGAUGAACGCUAGCUACAGGCUUAACACAUGCAAGUCGCGGGGCAGCAUGAAGGAUGCUUGCAUCUUUUGAUGGCGACCGGCGCACGGGUGAGUAACGCGUAUCCAACCUGCCUGUUACCACGGCACAGCCCGUCGAAAGGCGGAUUAAUGCCGUAUGUGGUCCUUUGCGGGCAUCUAAUUAGGACUAAAGGUUCGGCGGUAACGGAUGGGGAUGCGUCCGAUUAG
rnacentral:rRNA from 1 species